GUCUGUGGCCAUCCCACCCUGAACACGCCCGAUCUCGGAAGCUAAGCAGGGUUGGGCCUGGUUAGUACUUGGAUGGGAGAAAUUUUGUGAUUUUAUCUAUGUAGGUGAGUUGGGCCCUGAUC
rnacentral:rRNA from 1 species